AUGAGAUCAGUUAAAAGGUACGCAAUGGUACUGGGUUUUUGUUGGACUGAUCUCAUGUGCAUGUUUGGUUUUGUUCGAGAGCAAGUCAUGGAUCAGAAUUGUGCUAGGCUAGUUGUUGAUGGAUGUAGGGCUACAUUGUGUAUGAGAUUUGAGCAAGCAGCUGAGAUGCUUAUUGUGUACAGGCAUGUUCAUUUGUUAAUUGACCCUCAGAGCUUUAAGGGAAUCAUGGAAAUUGGUUGA